CAAACUCAGCACGCAGGUUUGCUCCUCUCUUCACGCUGCCCCUCAUUCCUUUCUCAGAGCAUCCCUCUUCUCUCAGUCUGGCUCUAUCUGUUCAUAGCCUUUGCUGCCUCAAGUCUUGACCUCUAAUUGGAGAGUAUAACUUAUCGUCAACAAGUGGAACAAGAGUUUAUACUGAAUUGGACAUUCCUGAGACUACUAAAUUCAAAGAUCAGCUUGUGGAAAAUAACCAACCAAUAGUACAAAUGCCAAAGCAAUUUAAACCACAAGUGACAAUUCAAGAAGAGAUGAACAUCAACAGAAGUAACACAAGCAACCAAAUGAUUCUGUGGUGUAUAUGUCAUUUGAGAGUGGUGCAACAGUGUCACACGAGCAAAUGACUAAGCUAUUUGUGUCAUUUUUUUAAUCUAGAAAAAUGUAUAUUUUGUUAUUAUUUGAUGGCUGUUACAAUUCUAAUGUCACAU